AGGGUUACAUGCUCCCUACCUCCCAGAAUGCUGAGAAGUUGAAGGAGCAGCAGUACCUGGAUUUGACUUCCUUUGGCAGACAGAUCAUUGCUGAGUUACUCAUGGUGUUUUUGGUCACAUUUGGUUUAUUUACAGUGAUCCACGCCAUGCAGCUUUGACCCAAGAAGAACGCCGAUGUACCCCGAAUGUUUGUUUGCUUUUCCUCCUCGUUGUGAGACAUUUUGCUGCAACCAGAGCCUCAUGUGCACAGUAAAGUUCUCUGCAUGUCAAAGA